UACGAAGGGGGCUAGCGUUACUCGGAUUGACUGGGCGUAAAGGGCGCGUAGGCCGUUUGUACAGUCAGACGUGAAAUUCCUGGGCUCAACCUGGGGGCUGCGUUUGAUACGUGCGGACUUGAGUUCGGAAGAGGGUCGUGGAAUUCCCAGUGUAGAGGUGAAAUUCGUAGAUAUUGGGAAGAACACCGGUGGCGAAGGCGGCGACCUGGUCCGAUACUGACGCUGAGGUGCGAAAGCGUGGGGAGCAAACAGG
rnacentral:rRNA from 1 species